rnacentral:lncRNA from 1 species
GGGUAGUCCUAUACAUGCCAUAUCCAGAGUUCAACUAAAAGAGUACCAAAAGAGCUUUGAUAGUGUGGAUGACUUCGACUUCGAUGAUCCCGAAUCCGAUAGCUAACGAACAAAAUCUAUAAAACAGAGAGCCAAAGCAACGGGGUAAGCAUUUUAAAGCUUAGUAAGUUUCAAGUAAUGAAAUCGGCUUUGACUAAAGUAUUACAUUCACAUAGCUAAAUGAAUCACUUUAUUAAUUCACAUUCUCAUAAUCAUACUUACUUCACACUUCAUCAACAUAUACACACACAAGGUAUCAACCUAUCUAAAAGCCGAAAGUUCGUUAGUCGAUUGAACGAAUACUAUUUAAAACGAAUCGACUUUUCCGAAGCACAUGCAAACAUACCUUAUCGUUUGGGUUUGUCGAGCGUAUUAAUUGAAUUUAUUACAGCACAAAACGCUCACAUUCAAACCCAAGUUUCUUCGGAAUUUAGCCGGAUAUAACCACAAGCACAAUUGCCUUCGGGUCUUAACCCGGGUAUAGCAACUCGCACGAAUGCCUUCGGGUCUUAGCCCGGAUAAAUCAACUUGCACAAUUGCCUUCGGGUCUUAGCCCGGAUAUAUCAACUCGCACAAAUGCCUUCGGGUCUUAGCCCGGAUAUAUGUCAACUCGCACAAAUGCCUUCGGGUCUUAGCUCGGAUAUAUCAACUCGCACAAAUGCCUUCGGGUCUUAGCCCAGAUAUAUCAACUUGCACAAAUGCGUUCGGGUCUUAGCCCGGAUGUAUUCAAAUGCUCAUGCACACAUAUAUCAAUAAUCAUAACACAUCCAUAUCUUAUUUUCGUUACUAAGGCUCAAACACAAAACAUUUAUUAAAUCUUUCCAAUUUCGGCUCAAUAGCCACACACAAAGAGCAUGAUUUUGAUUGGCUUUAUAACAUAGUCUCUAUGCACAUUCGACUAUCCGUCAUAGUAUGACUAAUCAUUUCAAUAUAAUUCAAGUAGGGUCAUUACUCGAAGACUUACCUUGGAUGUUGUCGAACGACUUCAAUGGCUAUUCAAUUACUUUUUCCUUCCCUUUAUCGGAUUUAGUUCCCCUUUACUCUUGAGCUUAAGUUCAACAAAUUUUAAAAUAGUCAUUAAUCGACUAUUCAAGUAUUACUUUCAGAAUAAUAUAUAUAUUGAUUCGACUUUCACACACAUAGAUUAUAGUAAGCUUUAUAAAAAUCAAUAAAUAAUUCAUUAGCAAAUUUUCAUUAAUGUUUACAACAAAAUCACAUAUUCACUACGAGCUGUUUUCCUGAGCAGUAGUCACUAAAUUAUUUAUAACUGGAGCUAAAAAACUCCAAAUCACUUGCUGUUAAUUUUCCCUGAAUAUAGACUCGUAUAUCUUCCAUCCAUAAAAUUUUCUGAAUUUUAGGCUUGGCCAAUCAAUACCAGAUUUUUCUUAAAGUUUCCCCUGUUUCACUGUUUGACUAAUCUGACCACUCUUCACUACGAAUCAAAUUUCUCAUUUUACAGAAUUCAAAAUGUGUUGUAUUUGAUUUCAUUUGAAACUAGACUCAUUAAGGAGUUUAAGCAUAUAAAUUUUAUCUUAUAAUCAUUUUUUUACAAUUUAUAAUGAUUUUCUAAAAACAGAACAGGGAAUCUAGUAGUCAUUUUGACUCAGCCCCACAAUACUUCAAAUAUCUGAAGAUCGGUAACUCUUUUGUUUUUAUAGUUUCUUUUGUAAGAAAAUAGACUCUUCAAGCUUUAAUGACAUAAUUUACUCAGCUUCUAAUUCAACUCCUACAAAUUAUGGCGAUUUUCCAAAAUAACCUUACUGCUGCUGUCCCCAAGCCGAUUAUUACCAAAUCAUAUGCUAACAUUUGCAUUUCACCUUAGUAGCUAGCUUAGCAAACCUUAAUUUAACAUAUAAUUGUUCAUAACACAAUUAAAGCAUCCUCUCCAUUCCAUCAAUUCAAAACACAUGCAUUGCCCAAUAGUAUCCAAAAUCAUAUUCGGCCUUAGUACACAUCUUGUUAGCCGAUUUUUCUCCAUUUAGCAACUAAUGCACAUAUGUGCUCAUUUGUUAGACUCUACUUCACCUAACUACCAUUUUCUUUUUCAUCCAAAUAACAUGAACAACAACCAUUUCUUGAACAUUUUCUCUUCAACAAUUCUUCAUAAAACAUAAAGACUAUAACCCAAUCUCAUCCUUUAAUAACUAAAACCGAAUGCUCAAGACACCACACCAUUUCAAAUUUUGGUCAUGGGUUAAGCAAGGAACUUGAUGACUAACAAAAAAAAAAUGCUAAAAAUCCAAGAAUCAUCCUUGAACUUACCUUGAUUUAGCUAACCACCAUAGCUGAAUUUUUCAAAGCUUUUCU